UUAGUCGGUUAGUAGAUCUGGUAAGUGUUAGGAUAAAUACACAGUGUCUUUUGCAAGCAAGACAAUUAAUCGAUGAUUUGAUUUCAUCUGUCUACAAUCUGUCUACAAUUCUUCUCUGCCUUCUCUAUAGAAUCGCAUCUCCUCUUUCUCAUCUUCAGUAAGCUCGCUAAUGGCGGAACCUAGGGAUGGAAUUUAACAUGGUAUUAAAGCCAUGGUUCUUGGCGAUUCAAGUAGCGAGCUUCUACAUUGAUUGAGUACAUUCAUUUCUCCCCUCUUCUACCCAUUUUAGGUCUUCGAUUUCUCUCUGGUUGAAUUUUCCUAAUUCAUCAAAAUUGUUAGUUUUCUGCACAUAUGACGAACAAUUCACCUCAAAUCACAGCUAGAUCUUUGUAUGCAAACACUCAACAGAUCGAUUGCAAUGAUCCGCUGUAUGUUCAUCCCUCGAAUAAACCACGAUUGUCAGUCAUUCCUCAAUUGUUGAUUGGAACUGAGAACUACUCAGACUGUAGACGAUCUAUGGAAAUGUCACUCCUAGUGAAGAAUAAACUAGGAUUUGUUGAUGGAGCUUGUGCGAGAGAGUAAUAUGAAAAAAUGCCUUUCAAUUAUGCCAAUGGGAUCAUUGUAAUUCAAUAGUUCAGUCUUGGAUCCAGAGCUCAGUGGUGAAGGAGCUUAGAAAAAGAAUUCUCUAUUCCUCAAAUGCGUAGAAAGUAUAGAAAGCACUUACGAAUCGUUUUAAUAAGGUAAAUGCGACUUAGGUUUAACAUAUGAACAGGGAAAUUAGUUGUUUGAUGCAGGGGAUUUCAAGUGUAUCAGUAUACUUUUCUAAUUUGAAUGAUCUUUGGGAUGUGUUUGAGUCGAUAAUUCCUCAACCACGUGACUGUAAAAAUUCCAAACUUUUUGUUGAGUUUCUUCGUCAACAGAAACUUAUGAAGUUCUUAAUGGGUCUAAAUGAUACCUAUGCACCACAAAGAAGGCAAAUAUUGAUGAUGCAACCAAUGCCUUCUCUGGGCCAAGAAUACUCGAUGAUAAUUCAAGAGGAAGGCCAGAGGCUAAGCAAUGGUUAUGGUGCACAAACUGGGGUUUUGGGAAGUGGACCUGUGAACACUGAGAGUAGCUCUUUUGUUUAAGCAAAUAGCUCAAGUGUAAAGUACAGGAAGAAUGCAAAUAUGCAAUGUGAUUACUGCAAAUUGAAAGGACACCAAAGGGACACAUGCUAUAAACUGGUGGGCUAUCCACCGGGAUUUAAAUUCAACAACAAAAGGAGAGGUGGUUAUGACAAUCACACAUCAGUAGCACAUAAUGUGAGUGUUAUGGAAGAAACUCAGUACGUAGGAAAUGCUGGAAAUGGGAUGACAAAUGGUAUGGUUAAUGCAAUAACUCCAAUCUUCACACCUGAGAAAUAUCAACAGAUUAUCAAAAUGCUAAGCAAGGAGAAAGGACUAGCGGAAUAAAAAGGAUCAACAGAAGUAGCCAACAUGAUAUACAAGAGAAUUAAAGUUUGUAGUCGCUUUUUAUCCUAUUUUGGUCUCUUUCAAGACCUCUUCAGUGGAAAGGUAAGGGGGAUUGAUAGCCUCAAGGAUGGACUCUACAUCCUCAAUCCUUCAAAGCCUGCUGCUCUUCCUGUCUCCACAUGUAUGACUACUUUACCUAGCCUUCCUCAAGUCUUUGUUGGAAUCAAAGACUUGGCCAUUCUCCUCAUUCAGUUCUAUGAAAAUACCUACAAUAAAGACAUUGUUUUCUAGUUCAGAUACAUGCAACUGUCAUGUUUCUUCACUAGCUAAGCAAAUUAGGUUACAUUUUCCUACUAGUACUUCAAAAUCAAGUUGUACAUUUGAACUUGUUCACAUGAAUGUAUGAGGUUCUUGUAGAGUGUGUACUGUGUACCUACAAUGGCAAUAUAUACUUUCUUACUCUUGUUGAUGAUUA